GGGGGGGGGUGGGGGGGUGCCGGGGGCGUGCAGGGCGGGCGGACGGGCGAGAAGCUUGCUGCUCUGAUGUUGGCGGCGGACGGGUGAGUGACACGUGGAUAACCUACCUAUACGACUGGGAUCACUUCGGGAAACCGGCGCUAAUACCGGAUAAUAUUUUGAACCGCAUGGUUCAAAAGUGAAAGACGGUCUUGCUGUCACUUAUAGAUGGAUCCGCGCUGCAUUAGCUAGUUGGUCAGGUAACGGCUUACCAAGGCAACGAUGCAUAGCCGACCUGAGAGGGUGAUCGGCCACACUGGAACUGAGACACGGUCCAGACUCCUACGGGAGGCAGCAGUAGGGAAUCUUCCGCAAUGGGCGAAAGCCUGACGGAGCAACGCCGCGUGAGUGAUGAAGGUCUUCGGAUCGUAAAACUCUGUUAUUAGGGAAGAACAUAUGUGUAAGUAACUGUGCACAUCUUGACGGUACCUAAUCAGAAAGCCACGGCUAACUACGUG
rnacentral:rRNA from 1 species